CACGUAGGGCGCAAGCGUUGUCCGGAAUUAUUGGGCGUAAAGCGCGUGUAGGCGGCCAGGUAGGUCCGCUGUGAAAACUCGAGGCUCAACCUCGAGAUGUCGGCGGAAACCAUCUGGCUAGAGUCCGGAAGAGGAGAGUGGAAUUCCCGGUGUAGCGGUGAAAUGUGUAGAGAUCGGGAGGAACACCGGUGGCGAAGGCGGGGUCUCUGGGCAAUUCCUGACGCUGAGGCGCGAAAGCGUGGGGAGCAAACGGG
rnacentral:rRNA from 1 species